CGGAGCUACACACUCUUUACUCACGCACGCACACCGCCGUACACAGCACAAUCGUUCACCGUCCCGCCAAAGGCUCGUCUCUCGGGUUCUGCCUAGUGGAAGGAGUCGGACAACGCCGCACGUCACGGGCGUUUCGGAUUUCUUGCUUCCCAAAGGUUUGACGGCGGCCACCGGCGCCCCGGCCCAGCUCUGCUUUCCUUUGCUGACUCCUUCCUUUAGCUGUCUACCACCACUGCUGCGCUUGUGGAUGACUGCAGGAACACCGGGUACUUGCCACAAGUAUCUCUCCAGAUUCAUCAGCCUUUCACCUGUGACAAGCUCAGUCAAGAAGUGGCUCCUAAGUAAAAGCUGGGGAAGAACAAGGAAGAUAGAGCUCAGAGUAGAAAGCUGUGAAGUUCUGCACAACAGGUCCCCUUGGCCUGCUCUAACAGUUGGAAGACAGGCAUGGUAGCUCAUGUGGAAGCUUCCCGAGGCCCUCACCCAGAAGCAGAUGCUGGAGCCAUGCUUGUACAGCUUGCAGAACUGUA
rnacentral:lncRNA from 1 species